rnacentral:rRNA from 1 species
AGAGUUUGAUCAUGGCUCAGAUUGAACGCUGGCGGAAUGCUUUACACAUGCAAGUCGAACGAUGAACCCUAGCUUGCUAGGGGGAUUAGUGGCGAACGGGUGAGUAAUAUAUCGGAACGUGCCUUGUAAUGGGGGAUAACUAGUCGAAAGAUUAGCUAAUACCGCAUACGCCCUGAGGGGGAAAGUAGGGGAUCUUCGGACCUUACGUUAUAAGAGCGGCCGAUAUCUGAUUAGCUAGUUGGUGGGGUAAUGGCCUACCAAGGCGACGAUCAGUAGCUGGUCUGAGAGGACGACCAGCCACACUGGAACUGAGACACGGUCCAGACUCCUACGGGAGGCAGCAGUGGGGAAUUUUGGACAAUGGGCGCAAGCCUGAUCCAGCCAUUCCGCGUGAGUGAAGAAGGCCUUCGGGUUGUAAAGCUCUUUCGCAAGGGAAGAGAACUUACCAUCGAAUAAAUGGUGAGGCUGACGGUACCUUGAUAAGAAGCACCGGCUAACUACGUGCCAGCAGCCGCGGUAAUACGUAGGGUGCGAGCGUUAAUCGGAAUUACUGGGCGUAAAGCGUGCGCAGGCGGUUUGGCAAGUCAGAUGUGAAAUCCCCGAGCUCAACUUGGGAACUGCGUUUGAAACUGCCAGACUAGAAUAUGUCAGAGGGGGGUAGAAUUCCACGUGUAGCAGUGAAAUGCGUAGAGAUGUGGAGGA